AGAGUUUGAUCCUGGCUCAGGACGAACGCUGGCGGCGUGCUUAACACAUGCAAGUCGAGCGGAAAGGCCCUUCGGGGUACUCGAGCGGCGAACGGGUGAGUAACACGUGAGCAACCUGCCCCUAGCUCUGGGAUAGCUCCGGGAAACCGGGAUUAAUACCAGAUAUGACCACUUUAGACAUCUGUUGUGGUGGAAAGGAUUCCGGCUAGGGAUGGGCUCGCGGCCUAUCAGCUUGUUGGUGGGGUAACGGCCUACCAAGGCGACGACGGGUAGCCGGCCUGAGAGGGCGACCGGCCACACUGGGACUGAGACACGGCCCAGACUCCUACGGGAGGCAGCAGUGGGGAAUAUUGCGCAAUGGGCGAAAGCCUGACGCAGCGACGCCGCGUGGGGGAUGAAGGCCUUCGGGUUGUAAACCCCUUUCAGCAGGGACGAAGCGAGAGUGACGGUACCUGCAGAAGAAGCGCCGGCUAACUACGUGCCAGCAGCCGCGGUAACACGUAGGGCGCAAGCGUUGUCCGGAAUUAUUGGGCGUAAAGAGCUCGUAGGCGGUCUGUUGCGUCCGCUGUGAAAUCUCGGGGCUUAACCCCGAGCCUGCAGUGGAUACGGGCAGACUAGAGGUAGGUAGGGGAGAAUGGAAUUCCCGGUGUAGCGGUGAAAUGCGCAGAUAUCGGGAGGAACACCGGUGGCGAAGGCGGUUCUCUGGGCCUUACCUGACGCUGAGGAGCGAAAGCGUGGGGAGCGAACAGGAUUAGAUACCCUGGUAGUCCACGCCGUAAACGUUGGGCGCUAGGUGUGGGAUCCUUCCACGGAUUCCGUGCCGCAGCUAACGCAUUAAGCGCCCCGCCUGGGGGAGUACGGCCGCA
rnacentral:rRNA from 1 species